AAUUUGGGGAACAAACGACAUCGUUUUGAUCUGAACAGACUACAGAGCGUCCAGUAGACUGGUACCCGAUUAAGCUCAGCAACAGGGACACCUUACAGCGGGCUAAACGCAGCAGAAUGUUACUACGAGGUCGCUUAUUCACUCUCUUAUCGAUUCCAUCUCUACAUCUACCUUCACUAAAAUCUCUGCCAUAUAACCUUUCUUUCAAUUACUUUACCCAAAAAUCUCUGAACCCGAACCCUAAGUCGAACUUCCAUAUUUCUGCUUCUAAGAUCACGAAACCGUCUAUCUCCGACUCCGCCCGCUUCGCUCGGACAGUUCUCUUCGUUCCACCAGGGGUCGACCUGGAUGAGGUGACAGAGGAGAUGGUUUUGCCUGGGUCGAACAUCGUUGUCGGACCCUACGCGGGUCAUUCACAGAUUAAGGAAGUGGAGUUCGUUAAGAGUAGUAGUAGGGCUAGAGAUUGCCCGAGAGAUGACCGACCCGAGUUUGCCAUUCUGGGUCGGUCCAAUGUGGGCAAGUCUUCUCUUAUUAAUGCUUUGGUUAGAAAAAAGGAAGUUGCUCUCACAUCUAAGAAACCAGGAAAGACUCAGUUGAUAAAUCAUUUCUUGGUGAAUAAAAGCUGGUACAUUGUUGAUUUGCCUGGUUAUGGGUUUGCUAAGGCCCCAGAUUCUGCACGAACAGAUUGGUCCUCAUUCACCAAAGGCUAUUUUUUGAACAGAGAAACUCUAGUUGCUGUCCUACUUCUUAUCGAUGCAAGUGUCCCUCCUCAAAAGAUUGACCUAGAUUGUGCUAGUUGGCUUGGACGCAAUAAUAUACCGUUAACUUUUGUUUUCACCAAGUGUGACAAAAUGAAAGGGGGGAAGGGAACAAGACCUGAUGAGAACAUUAGGAAUUUCCAGGAAUUGAUCAGACAAAACUACCGAGAACAUCCUCCAUGGAUCAUGACUAGUAGCGUCACUGGCUUGGGCAGGGAUGAACUUCUUCUACAUAUGUCACAGCUAAGGAACUACUGGGAUCAAUAAAAUGUGUCAAGUCAAAACUACUUAUUUAACUAUAAGGAUGAUAUAUGAGAAUCCAGGCUCAAUAAUUUCCCACAUCUAGAGGAGUAGAUGUUACUUGUAUUGUACCACUUGCUGUUCCAUCAUCAAUACUCUUGAAGUUUGACCAAGAACAUUUUCUGAAGAGUUGCUUCUUAAUGAAUUGAACUUCAUUUUAGUCUUUCUUCUUUGUCAAACUACUGUUGGUUUGAGUAUGAAUUUCUAUUUUAUGUCAGUUCUAGGGUCAAAUAUUGUGGAGUAUUUGGUGAGUAUAUAUCAGAGAAAUAGGACUUUCAUGUAGGAAUAUACUUUUAUACCAUUAAUGUGUGCACGGUAUAAUAGAGCCUUGCUAAUUUUCACCUUCA